rnacentral:rRNA from 1 species
UGGGGAAUUUUGGACAAUGGGCGAAAGCCUGAUCCAGCAAUGCCGCGUGUGUGAAGAAGGCCUUCGGGUUGUAAAGCACUUUUGUCCGGAAAGAAAUCCUUGGCUCUAAUACAGUCGGGGGAUGACGGUACCGGAAGAAUAAGCACCGGCUAACUACGUGCCAGCAGCCGCGGUAAUACGUAGGGUGCAAGCGUUAAUCGGAAUUACUGGGCGUAAAGCGUGCGCAGGCGGUUUGCUAAGACCGAUGUGAAAUCCCCGGGCUCAACCUGGGAACUGCAUUGGUGACUGGCAGGCUAGAGUAUGGCAGAGGGGGGUAGAAUUCCACGUGUAGCAGUGAAAUGCGUAGAGAUGUGGAGGAAUACCGAUGGCGAAGGCAGCCCCCUGGGCCAAUACUGACGCUCAUGCACGAAAGCGUGGGGAGCAAACAGGAUUAGAUACCCUGGUAGUCCACGCCCUAAACGAUGUCAACUAGUUGUUGGGGAUUCAUUUCUUAGUAACGUAGCUAACGCGUGAAGUUGACCGCCUGGGGAGUACGGUCGCAAGAUU